AAAAAAAAAAAAAAAAUCAAAACAUUUCAUUGAAUCGCAUUUUAUAAAAUCCAAAUAAACAACUAUGGAAAUCACACAUGCAGCACAGGCAAGAUGAACCCAGACCAGAGGUGAUUCUUCCCUGGGCAUGCACAGGGGCGAGGUGAACCAUCUGUAACAGGCGAUGAGUUGAUUCUUGAAGGGGCGAUGACCCAUUUGUAAUAGGCGAUGAGUUAAUUCUUGAGAGGACAGAGGCAUGAGUUGAUUCUCUCACAAAUGCGAUGGCCCAUCUAUCAUAGGCUGAGAGGGAGGAAUUGGAGGACAGGGUAUUAGCCAAGAACUGAAUCAAGAGCAAUAGAGAAGAGAAAAUAGGAAAACAGUGAGGAGGAGGAGGGAGGGGAAUAAUGAGAUUGGUGAGCCACACCAUCUGUCGUUAUUCACUUCUUCU
rnacentral:misc_RNA from 1 species